CAGGGAAUCUUCGGCAAUGGACGAAAGUCUGACCGAGCAACGCCGCGUGAGUGAAGAAGGUUUUCGGAUCGUAAAACUCUGUUGUUAGAGAAGAACAAGGACGUUAGUAACUGAACGUCCCCUGACGGUAUCUAACCAGAAAGCCACGGCUAACUACGUGCCAGCAGCCGCGGUAAUACGUAGGUGGCAAGCGUUGUCCGGAUUUAUUGGGCGUAAAGCGAGCGCAGGCGGUUUCUUAAGUCUGAUGUGAAAGACCCCGGCUCAACCGGGGAGGGUCAUUAGAAAAUGGGAUACUUGAGUGCAAAGGAGGGGAGUGGAAUUCCAGGUGUAGCGGUAAAAUGCGUAGAUAUAUGGAGGACCACCAGUGGCGAAGGCGGGUCUCUGGUCUGUAACUGACGCUGAGGCUCGAAAGGGUGGGGAGCAAACAGG
rnacentral:rRNA from 1 species